AAAUGAGAAGUAAAUAAUUACAUUUAGUUUCGACCUAAAGAUUGGUUAAUCCAUAACCCUCAUUUA
rnacentral:tRNA from 1 species